GCCUGGGUAGCUCAGUUGGUUAAGCAUCUGACUUAGGCUCAGGUCAUGAUCUCGCAGUCAGUGAGUUCGAGCCCCACGUCAGGCU
rnacentral:tRNA from 1 species